UGUCCAGGGAUGGGAAUCGAACCCACAGUGUUCCGCUUACCGGGCAGAUGCCAUGUCCACUAGGACCUGUAAC